AUUUAACUGAGGAGGAAGGAGUGGAUUCUGAGUGAGAGAACCAAGAGUUCUGAUGCCGAUGUGGAUCUAAACUGCACUUGUGUACGUGCUAUGUCUGCAUAAACUCUUUCUGCAAUUCAAAUGUUGACACCCAAAAUUACAAGCCAGAAUGCUUCUGAACUCCACCAUUAUGGCACUGUACUUCUGUGCUGCCUGAGUCCAUUUUCUGGGAAAAACACCACAGAACAUCUGUUCAUAAACAGUCCUUCUGUGAAAAUACUGACACAGGUCCUGAGCGUCUCCGGGCUCAAUUCCCCCGCCAUGUACAGAUGGCACGAUGUAUUGAUGUAUUUGUACAGCUG
rnacentral:lncRNA from 1 species